ACGGAAGGCAGCAGUGGGGAAUAUUGGACAAUGGGGGAAACCCUGAUCCAGCGACGCCGCGUGAGUGAAGAAGUAUUUCGGUAUGUAAAGCUCUAUCAGCAGGGAAGAUAAUGACGGUACCUGACUAAGAAGCUCCGGCUAAAUACGUGCCAGCAGCCGCGGUAAUACGUAUGGAGCAAGCGUUAUCCGGAUUUACUGGGUGUAAAGGGUGCGUAGGUGGCAGGGCAAGUCAGAUGUGAAAGACCGGGGCUCAACUCCGGGGCUGCAUUUGAAACUGUCUUGCUGGAGUGCAGGAGGGGCAAGCGGAAUUCCUAGUGUAGCGGUGAAAUGCGUAGAUAUUAGGAGGAACACCGGUGGCGAAGGCGGCUUGCUGGACUGAUACUGACACUGAGGCACGAAAGCGUGGGGAGCAAACAGGAUUAGAUACCCUGGUA
rnacentral:rRNA from 1 species